ACGGAAGGCAGCAGUGGGGAAUAUUGCACAAUGGGGGAAACCCUGAUGCAGCGACGCCGCGUGAGUGAAGAAGUAUUUCGGUAUGUAAAACUCUAUCAGCAGGGAAGAAAAUGACGGUACCUGACUAAGAAGCCCCGGCUAACUACGUGCCAGCAGCCGCGGUAAUACGUAGGGGGCAAGCGUUAUCCGGAUUUACUGGGUGUAAAGGGAGCGUAGACGGCUUUGCAAGUCUGAAGUGAAAGCUCGGGGCUCAACUCCGGAACUGCUUUGGAAACUGUAGAGCUAGAGUGCAGGAGAGGUAAGUGGAAUUCCUAGUGUAGCGGUGAAAUGCGUAGAUAUUAGGAGGAACACCAGUGGCGAAGGCGGCUUACUGGACUGUAACUGACGUUGAGGCUCGAAAGCGUGGGGAGCAAACAGGAUUAGAUACCCUGGUA
rnacentral:rRNA from 1 species